CCACCCCGCACCCUUCCCCGGGACACGGGGCUUUAGGGUACCGCGGGGGAGGCCGGUGGAGAGGAAGCGUCUGGCUGCUCGUUUUCGUCCCCCACGGCCAACGCGUAGCUUUGGGAAGCCCCACGAACCCAAGAGGGACAGUGGGCGGACAGGGAGGAUACCUGGCCAGCAAAACUCCAGGGAGGACCCAAGCUGUAGCGGAAGCGAGGAGAGCUCGUGGACUGAGUCCUGCUGAUUGACCACCUGCAGUCUGACCUUCCAAGUGUUGAAGCCCGUCCUGUCUUCGCAGGCAUGCUUCUCUUGAUGUAAACAUCCAACAGCUGUGAUUUGAGGACUGGACGUUCUCAUGAUGACAGCCUAUAAGCUAAGAAAGAACAGCAGAGAUUUAGUGGCCUCCUGGAACUUUCACGGGAAUAAAGGAAUCUCAGACAGUG